rnacentral:rRNA from 1 species
AGCGUAGGCGGUCAAGCAAGUCAGGGGUGAAAGGCAUCGGCUCAACCGAUGUAAGCCUUUGAAACUGUUUGACUUGAGUGCAGGAGAGGGAAAGUGGAAUUCCUAGUGUAGCGGUGAAAUGCGUAGAUAUUAGGAGGAACACCAGUGGCGAAGGCGACUUUCUGGACUGUAACUGACGCUGAGGCUCGAAAGCGUGGGAGCGAACA